rnacentral:pre_miRNA from 1 species
AGUGGAAUUGCUGGGUUAUAUGGUAAAUUUAUGUUUAACUUUUUAAGAAACUGCCAAAAUGUUUUCCAGAGUGGCUGUUCCAUUUUACAUUCCCACCAGCAAU